rnacentral:lncRNA from 1 species
UUCACUUCAAACUCUAGGAUGUUCACACUCCUUGAUUGAUCUAUCUUUCCAUUCACACCAGAAGGGUGCUCCUUAUCUAGUUCUCCGGUAGCACUUCGUUCUAGAGAUAAGUGCUACUAAACCAACAAUUUGGUAUGCAUGGAUACCAUAGAGGAAUCCUGCUUUCAAUGCUCAUUCGAGGGAAUUAUUCUCGCGGUUGGGAGGUGAUAUGUCUUCAACGUAUCCAUAAUUUUUAAUUGUUUCAUGCUAUUAUUUUAUCAAUCUUAGAUACUUUAUAUGCAUUUUUACAUUAUUUUUGGGACUAGCCUAUUAACUCAGUGCCCAGUGCUAGUUGUUGUUUUUUUGCCUUUUUUUGGUUUUUCAGAAAAUCAAUACCAACAGAGUCCAAACGUGACGUAACUUUUUGACAAUUCUUUCUGGACCAGGAAACACCCUAGAAGCUUCGAGAGAGGACCAAGAGACCUACAAGGAGAUGAC